rnacentral:antisense_RNA from 1 species
CUUCAGCGAUCCCACCCACAGCGGACGGUCCCGGUCCUGCCCGUAGGUCGCCAAGAGUGCGUGGGCCUC